rnacentral:tRNA from 1 species
UCCUGGAUAGCUCAGUUGGUUAGAGUGUAGUGCUGACAAUGCCAAGGUUGCAGUUUCGAUCCCCAUAAGGGAC